GCGGAGGCUCUGACGGUGUCCCGGGAGCGAUUCCCUGUGGGGAGCGGAGGCAGCCGCGGCUGUGUCCCCGCUGAAGUGAUUGUCAGGCAGUAUAGGUCAUGGGUGUUAAGCAAAGUGUUCUCCCGGCCCUGUCUGCCUGUGCUCCGAAGGUUGUCGUCUCCUCACAGACUUACCUUGUGGGCCGCUCCACAGCUGGGGAGCCCUGUUUUGUCCCUGCGGUUAUGGAGCUUCUUUGGCACUCUCGCCGUGUUAUCUGGAGCAUCCCUUUUGGGAAGUCUCCUCUUAUCCCUGCCAUGUGGAUGGGCCCCAGGUGAAGGCCAGCCACUUCUGCUGUGCUUGUAGUGAGAGGUCAAGAGGCCUUAAGCUGAGGCAGAAUAUCUACUGAGAGGCCUUAAAAAUUUGGGGAACUAGCACUUGGCACAUUGUCAACAGGGAGAAGAGGCAGUGAAGAGAUCUUUAGAGGAUUCCAGAUGUGUGCCCUUAUGGAGAGAACAUUUUGCCUCUGUUGGAGGGUGAAAGUAGCUGUGUGGAUAAGCUAUAAGGAGGACUUGUGGAGAAAUGCAAGUACAGUACUCCUGCUAUGCUGACUGAGGGUGAAGGCAUGGCUGGUCCCUCGCUGUGUGCUGCCGCCACCGCGGCCUCCCCGGAUCUGCACAGGGUGCCCAGCUUUGGAGAGAGUAAAACCACACAGUGCUCCUUUUCAAUUGAGAGUAUAUUGGGACUGGAGCAGAAAAAAGAUGACAUUCCAGCUGGGAAACCUCACAGACCCUGGAUGGAUGCAUGCACCAGCGUGGUUUUAGGUGAUGACAGUAAUCCCCAUCUGCAAAUCCCUGUUGUUUGCUAUGAGAAUCCAUUAUUUCAUGCUAGAAGUGAUCCAGUGCAAGAGGAAAAAGUUUUGAAAUGUGAAAAAUAUUUUUCAGUAACUGAAAGGCUGUCCUUCAAACGAGAAUUGAGCUGGUACAGGGGUAGAAGACCAAGAACUGCAUUCACUAGAAACCAGAUUGAAGUCUUGGAAAAUGUUUUUAAAAUGAACUCCUACCCCGGCAUUGAUAUUAGAGAAGAGUUAGCUCGCAAAUUAGAUUUAGAUGAAGACAGGAUCCAGAUCUGGUUCCAGAACCGUCGUGCAAAACUGAAAAGAUCACACAGAGAAUCUCAGUUUCUAAUGGUGAAAAACACUUUCACCUCCAGCCUGCUAGAGUAGAAGGAUGACUUGCUGUUACAGUACUACUACAGAAAAUGAAGAAUUACUCAUAACCUGUAUUAAAGCCUGAAGUCAAGGAGAGCCAUGUGAGGAAAAAAACCCACCCAACUCUUCAUGGCCACAAUGUAGGGAAGCACUGUAAGUACAGGUUUAUGCUGCUCUUUGUUCAGCAGAGCUCUAAGCACUUGCCUUAAGUGCUGGUGACCUUCAGUGAGACUCCAGCCUGUAUUUCUUGCUGGACAUAAAUUCUACAUUAUCUCAUGAACAGAUGCAGAAUUGCUCUUCUUUUCCUCAUGCUUGUAUCCAUAUCUGUUAUCCAAUAGGGUGAAAGGUAAGUUGAGAAAAUAGGGUGAUGGAAAUAAAUCAUUUUAUGUAGCCUCAUACUAGGAAAAGCUGAAGGAAGGGAUGAUCUGACAGUCCUUACUUAGUAUUUUGAAUUAUAGUUUGAGCUACCAGAGUUUAAAUAAAAAAUGUCUAUAUUUUCUGAAAAAUAUCACCGAAAAACUGCAUUGCUGUAGAACUGGGUGACAGAUAUUGGCCCUUCUGUGUUUUUAACUUAAUUGGCUCAUUGCCUUCACUUUUAUGGAGAACACUAAAAAUCUUGAAAUGUUUGCCUUUGCUCCUGGAAAUCUUAUUUUAAUAUGGAAAUAACAAUCUUUUA